AUAUUUUCACCCGCAGUAUCGUCAUUUUCUCUGCACUGACAUUUUAGCUCCUCUUCCAAUAAUCUGUUCUUAAUAAAAUCAAUUUCCAAUGUUUCCGGAUUAAGAGUUUCAAUCGCCGUUACCACAUUACUAGAAGAUUCCGGAAGAAAUGUCCUUCCUCCAGACACAACGAGCCGAUGUCAACUUUCAUGGACCCCUCUAAUACAAACAGUCUGCCAACAAUCUUAGGAUGAUCUAAUUCUUAAUAGUAAUAAUCGCAAUAUGGUCUGGAAACCCUGCGAUUUUUAUUUUUAUAUUAUUUUAAAUAUAGUCUAAUUAAGGAAUAAAUAAAUAAUCUACUCGUUAA